ACAAUGCGAUCAUCAGAGGAGGUGGCGUCCUCUUCCAGAAGCCCAGCCAGAGCAGACGUGGCCUGGACGGAAACAACGCAGAGAAAGGCACCAUGUGGCGCUGUGGACCGUCUCACCUGCGGUCCAUGUCCAGGUCGGUUUUCGGAACUGAGGGCAGAUGGGGACAUUUCAGUGGUUCACAAAUUCCUAGUGCUGCUGUGAGAAUUAACAUAGACACACAAACUCCUCUUUCAAGACGUCAAUGGGACUUCUGCUACCAAAGCACCACUCUAAAUGUCCAAAGCUCCGUCGCAGCUGUGUGGGGAUUCUCCAAAAAGACUUGAAUAUAAUUUCCGUUGACGUGAAAGGUAAACAAAUGGCUUACCUUCGAUGACGUGCAUAUGAAUACAGAAUACAGCAAUAAGUCUAAGCAAAAUGUACAUUGACUGUCUGCACUUCCCAUUCAAACAAACUUCAGGGAACUGGUAGCAUAUACCAGAAUAUAAAGUCCACCUCUCCAGUAAAUCUGCUUUAAUGGAUCACACUUGAUCACACUUGACUAUUAUCGUGAGGGUGGGGUCAGAUAGAAAUGGUUCAGGAUGCUUGUCAAGAAUAAAGUGUAGUUCAAUGUAGACUAUUUACAGACUCCAUGGUGUAAACACGGAGGUAGCUUUGCAUGU